rnacentral:rRNA from 1 species
ACGGAGGGGGCAAGCGUUGUUCGGAAUUACUGGGCGUAAAGGGCGUGUAGGCGGCCGAUCAAGUCGGGUGUGAAAGCCCUCGGCUCAACCGAGGAAUUGCACUCGAUACUGGUUGGCUAGAGUCCGGGAGGGGGUAGCGGAAUUCCCAGUGUAGCGGUGAAAUGCGUAGAUAUUGGGAAGAACACCAGUGGCGAAGGCGGCUACCUGGACCGGAACUGACGCUGAGGCGCGAAAGCUAGGGGAGCGAAUGGG